UGGUGGAGUGAUUUGUCUGGUUUAUUCCGUUAACGAACGAGACCUCAGCCUGCUAAAUAGCCCAGCAAAUUCCGAUUUGUUGUGACUUCUUAGAGGGACUUUGUGUGCAAGCACAAGGAAGUUUGAGGCAAUAACA
rnacentral:rRNA from 1 species